rnacentral:lncRNA from 1 species
CAUAGUGGCUUUAUUUGUGAUAGCCAGAGCUGAAAACAACCUAGAUGUCCCACGACAGAAAAAUGGAUACAGAAAAUGUGGUCAUUUCCACAUGGAAUACUACUUGGCUAUUAAGAAUGAGGACAUCCUGAGCUUUGCAGGCAAAUAGAUGGAACUAGAAAAUAUCAUCCUGAGUGAGGAACUAUUCAGUACUAAUUGCCAGCAGCUCUUUUUGCUCUGGUGAGGAUAAAGUCAAUAAGAUAAUAUUUUCUCACAAAGAAAUGGAGAAGAACAAAAAAUAAGAUUGUCUGAUGCUAAUACUAUGAAUAAUAAUCAAAGAAAGGAAAGACCUGUGGAAAUGAAGGGUUCAAGAAUACAACCUAUCUUAUGCUACCAUAAUUUAGAAUACAGGAGAUGGCUAACCCAUGGGACUUGGAAAAUCCAGGAUUAACUAGUUAAACUGUCCAGAAAGCUCUGAUCUCAGCUGUUCACUGGCAGAACAGAUUGCCUCCCAGGGACAGAAUCUUGUGCCUUUAACUGGCCAGAAAAGUAUUGUACCACUGAAAUAUCCUCCUGCCAUAUGGGUGGGCUCUGGGGUGCUUCUCUGCCAUUCGGUAUUCCUCAGAUGUGAGAGAGCCAUAAGCAAAGACAAGUCUGGCUUGAGUAGAAGUCUGUAUCAUUCACUGAAGAAAGGAGUAAAUGACUGAGGAAGAUCAUGUCACCCAUUGGCAUCCACAUGUAUCUGAAAAGAAGUCCAUGUGCCCCUCCCUGCAUGCAUGUGAAAACGUACAUGCAUGCGCAACACAGAUGCAGAAUGAGAAUCUAGAUUACUAAACCAUGGUAGAUUUUGACAUGUUUCUAGUAUUGCAUCAAGCUAUUGGACUAUGAUUAGCUGCGAUGUUAAUUUCGGGUAAAGUGAUGCUUCUGCAUCAUCUUCCUCAGAAGAAAGAAUGAUCAGUUGUACUGCACUGGUGAUGACCAAUGGAUAGAGCAUCCGCAGCCUGUUUCCCAGUCAUCUACUGAACAGGAAGAGUGCUGGGUGUAGUCAUGUCUCAUCAAAUCCUAUAGUUUAGUUUUCUUAAUGGAAUUGUAGUUUCACUGAAAUGUAAACUGAAGAGCUGCUCAGGACAGUUUAUGAACAUCUUAGUUGACUAAGUUUCACUUUGGACAAUGCCACCAAAAGAGCAUUCUAGAUGUUCAUAAAUAAAUAAAGAUAAAUAGAUCCAGGUGUGAUGUGACAAGCUACCCCAGUUUCUUUCUGUUGUGGAGUCUCCAGACAUCGAAUCCUCCCAUCAUGAUGUACAAUCUUGUCUAAAUCUAUAAGCAUAAAACAAAUCCUUCCUCCCU